rnacentral:rRNA from 1 species
UACGUAGGGUGCAAGCGUUAAUCGGAAUUACUGGGCGUAAAGCGUGCGCAGGCGGUUGAGUAAGACAGAUGUGAAAUCCCCGGGCUCAACCUGGGAAUUGCAUUUGUGACUGCUCGACUAGAGUGCGGCAGAGGGGAGUGGAAUUCCGCGUGUAGCAGUGAAAUGCGUAGAUAUGCGGAGGAACACCGAUGGCGAAGGCAACUCCCUGGGCCUGCACUGACGCUCAUGCACGAAAGCGUGGGGAGCAAAC